AUUGAACGCUGGCGGCAGGCCUAACACAUGCAAGUCUAACGAGUGGCGGACGGGUGAGUCAUGUCUGGGAAACUGCCUGAUGGAGGGGGAUAACUACUGGAAACGGUAGCUAAUACCGCAUACCAUCAGAUGUGCCAAGAUUGGAUUAGCUAGUUGGUGGGGUAACGGCUCACCAAGGCCACGAUCCCUAGCUGGUCUGAGAGGAGGACCAGCCACAUUGAAAAUGAGACACGGUCCAGACUCCUACGGGAGGAAGCAGUGGGGAAUAGUGCACAAGGGGCGAAAGCCUGAGUGAGCCAUGCCGCGUGGAUGAUGAAGGGCUUUGGGUUGUAAAGUACUGUCAGCGGGGAGGCGUUACCCGCAGAAGAAGCACCGGCUAACUCCGUGCCAGCAGCCGCGGUAAUUC
rnacentral:rRNA from 1 species